UUAAGCGACUAAGCGUACACGGUGGAUGCCCUGGCAGUCAGAGGCGAUGAAGGACGUGCUAAUCUGCGAUAAGCGUCGGUAAGGUGAUAUGAACCGUUAUAACCGGCGAUUUCCGAAUGGGGAAACCCAGUGUGUUUCGACACACUAUCAUUAACUGAAUCCAUAGGUUAAUGAGGCGAACCGGGGGAACUGAAACAUCUAAGUACCCCGAGGAAAAGAAAUCAACCGAGAUUCCCCCAGUAGCGGCGAGCGAACGGGGAGGAGCCCAGAGCCUGAAUCAGUGUGUGUGUUAGUGGAAGCGUCUGGAAAGGCGCGCGAUACAGGGUGACAGCCCCGUACACAAAAAUGCACAUGCUGUGAGCUCGAUGAGUAGGGCGGGACACGUGGUAUCCUGUCUGAAUAUGGGGGGACCAUCCUCCAAGGCUAAAUACUCCUGACUGACCGAUAGUGAACCAGUACCGUGAGGGAAAGGCGAAAAGAACCCCGGCGAGGGGAGUGAAAAAGAACCUGAAACCGUGUACGUACAAGCAGUGGGAGCACGCUUCGGCGUGUGACUGCGUACCUUUUGUAUAAUGGGUCAGCGACUUAUAUUCUGUAGCAAGGUUAACCGAAUAGGGGAGCCGAAGGGAAACCGAGUCUUAACUGGGCGUUAAGUUGCAGGGUAUAGACCCGAAACCCGGUGAUCUAGCCAUGGGCAGGUUGAAGGUUGGGUAACACUAACUGGAGGACCGAACCGACUAAUGUUGAAAAAUUAGCGGAUGACUUGUGGCUGGGGGUGAAAGGCCAAUCAAACCGGGAGAUAGCUGGUUCUCCCCGAAAGCUAUUUAGGUAGCGCCUCGUGAAUUCAUCUCCGGGGGUAGAGCACUGUUUCGGCAAGGGGGUCAUCCCGACUUACCAACCCGAUGCAAACUGCGAAUACCGGAGAAUGUUAUCACGGGAGACACACGGCGGGUGCUAACGUCCGUCGUGAAGAGGGAAACAACCCAGACCGCCAGCUAAGGUCCCAAAGUCAUGGUUAAGUGGGAAACGAUGUGGGAAGGCCCAGACAGCCAGGAUGUUGGCUUAGAAGCAGCCAUCAUUUAAAGAAAGCGUAAUAGCUCACUGGUCGAGUCGGCCUGCGCGGAAGAUGUAACGGGGCUAAACCAUGCACCGAAGCUGCGGCAGCGACGCUUAUGCGUUGUUGGGUAGGGGAGCGUUCUGUAAGCCUGUGAAGGUGUGCUGUGAGGCAUGCUGGAGGUAUCAGAAGUGCGAAUGCUGACAUAAGUAACGAUAAAGCGGGUGAAAAGCCCGCUCGCCGGAAGACCAAGGGUUCCUGUCCAACGUUAAUCGGGGCAGGGUGAGUCGACCCCUAAGGCGAGGCCGAAAGGCGUAGUCGAUGGGAAACAGGUUAAUAUUCCUGUACUUGGUGUUACUGCGAAGGGGGGACGGAGAAGGCUAUGUUGGCCGGGCGACGGUUGUCCCGGUUUAAGCGUGUAGGCUGGUUUUCCAGGCAAAUCCGGAAAAUCAAGGCUGAGGCGUGAUGACGAGGCACUACGGUGCUGAAGCAACAAAUGCCCUGCUUCCAGGAAAAGCCUCUAAGCAUCAGGUAACAUCAAAUCGUACCCCAAACCGACACAGGUGGUCAGGUAGAGAAUACCAAGGCGCUUGAGAGAACUCGGGUGAAGGAACUAGGCAAAAUGGUGCCGUAACUUCGGGAGAAGGCACGCUGAUAUGUAGGUGAGGUCCCUCGCGGAUGGAGCUGAAAUCAGUCGAAGAUACCAGCUGGCUGCAACUGUUUAUUAAAAACACAGCACUGUGCAAACACGAAAGUGGACGUAUACGGUGUGACGCCUGCCCGGUGCCGGAAGGUUAAUUGAUGGGGUUAGCGGUAACGCGAAGCUCUUGAUCGAAGCCCCGGUAAACGGCGGCCGUAACUAUAACGGUCCUAAGGUAGCGAAAUUCCUUGUCGGGUAAGUUCCGACCUGCACGAAUGGCGUAAUGAUGGCCAGGCUGUCUCCACCCGAGACUCAGUGAAAUUGAACUCGCUGUGAAGAUGCAGUGUACCCGCGGCAAGACGGAAAGACCCCGUGAACCUUUACUAUAGCUUGACACUGAACAUUGAGCCUUGAUGUGUAGGAUAGGUGGGAGGCUUAGAAGUGUGGACGCCAGUCUGCAUGGAGCCGACCUUGAAAUACCACCCUUUAAUGUUUGAUGUUCUAACGUUGACCCGUAAUCCGGGUUGCGGACAGUGUCUGGUGGGUAGUUUGACUGGGGCGGUCUCCUCCUAAAGAGUAACGGAGGAGCACGAAGGUUGGCUAAUCCUGGUCGGACAUCAGGAGGUUAGUGCAAUGGCAUAAGCCAGCUUGACUGCGAGCGUGACGGCGCGAGCAGGUGCGAAAGCAGGUCAUAGUGAUCCGGUGGUUCUGAAUGGAAGGGCCAUCGCUCAACGGAUAAAAGGUACUCCGGGGAUAACAGGCUGAUACCGCCCAAGAGUUCAUAUCGACGGCGGUGUUUGGCACCUCGAUGUCGGCUCAUCACAUCCUGGGGCUGAAGUAGGUCCCAAGGGUAUGGCUGUUCGCCAUUUAAAGUGGUACGCGAGCUGGGUUUAGAACGUCGUGAGACAGUUCGGUCCCUAUCUGCCGUGGGCGCUGGAGAACUGAGGGGGGCUGCUCCUAGUACGAGAGGACCGGAGUGGACGCAUCACUGGUGUUCGGGUUGUCAUGCCAAUGGCACUGCCCGGUAGCUAAAUGCGGAAGAGAUAAGUGCUGAAAGCAUCUAAGCACGAAACUUGCCCCGAGAUGAGUUCUCCCUGACUCCUUGAGAGUCCUGAAGGAACGUUGAAGACGACGACGUUGAUAGGCCGGGUGUGUAAGCGCAGCGAUGCGUUGAGCUAACCGGUACUAAUGAACCGUGAGGCUUAACCUU
rnacentral:rRNA from 1 species